GACCAUAUAUAUUUCUUCCCACAGGUUGUGUUCUUUACACUGACUGUAUAGAAAGAGGUGGUACAGUAAAUGCACCCCAUAUACACCCCAGCACAGGCCCUUUGCCAGGUCUGUAUUGUGAAUUGGGGGACAAAA